UUGAAAGGGAAACGAUUGAAGUCAGUCGUACCUUCGGGUAAUCAGCCUUUCGGGUGNNNNUCUGUGGAGCGUGGGGAGUUAAACGCCUUCAUGCCUGCAUAUUCGUGCACUUUGGGUGUACUUGCCCGUGUGGUAGGUUAACAUCAAUUUCGGAUAUCAUAAAAUGGCUGGAGGAAUGUAGCUUCGGUCUCGUACUGAAGUGUUAUAGCCUUUGGUAGAUGUGAUGACCGGGAUUGAGGAUUGCAACGAAUACCUUUUGGGCUAUCCGUCUGAUCUCUGAAAGUUGCUCUGGUGCCGAAAGCUUGCUUACGGUUAUCAAAGUUGACGUUCAAAAGGUUAGAACGGGUUAAAUUCGUUAAGGAUGUUGACGUA
rnacentral:rRNA from 1 species